UCAAGCAUCCUACAAACAUUUAAUCUGAAUUUAAUGUGACAAGGGAUGUGACAGAUGGAUGUACGGAGCGAUGUGGGAAUACAUAAUGGGACGCGGAGUCCAUCAUGAGUUCAGAGAAAAGCUUCUGGACAUUGGAAUUGAGUCCUGAAGAAUGAGUUAGCAUCUGCGAGUGGUUAAAGGAAAAAAAGGUGCUGUGCAGAAGAAAAUGAGUGUAAGAAACGAUGUAUGUGGGAACCCUAAGUAAUUCAGUGCCCCUACACUGUCAAUCUAGGGCUGCAAACUCAAAUGUCUGCAUUAAAGGAAGCAACUAGGAAAAUCAACGCCCAGGAGAGCUGGGGCUGUUGAAAACUGCAGGAGGUAUUUCUGCUGAAAGUAGGGCCGACCCUAUUCAGCCAGCUCUUGUCAUUCCAGUUGAAGAGAGGCCAUUUGACAUUCUAGAGGUGGCAGCAUGCAAACAUUUAAAACCGUUGAGAGAAUACAGCACACCAGGGAGACUAUUAUUAUGACUAUCAGGAGGAUAAUACCAAGAGUUGAGAGAAGUCUGCAUGAAUCUGCUUUAUGUUUCCUGCCUCCAGACCCUAUUCUCUUGCAUCAGUAGGGUUGAAUAAACUACACACAUGGUUUAUCUUAAA